rnacentral:lncRNA from 1 species
GCGGGCUGGCCGCACAGGUGUGGUCUCGGGCAUUAUACGGCCGAGGAUCACGACGCAGGCGGACAUACCGCGCAGGCGUGGUCGCGAUGGUCAUGCGGCCGAGUAGCACGACGCAGGCGGGCAGACCGCGCAGGUGUGGUCUCGGGCAUUAUGCGGCCCAGGAGGUGGCCUCGGGCAUUAUGCGGCCGAGGAGGUGGCUUCGGG